GAUGAACGCUGACAGAAUGCUUAACACAUGCAAGUCAACUUGAAUUUGGGUUUUUAACUUAGAUUUGGGUGGCGGACGGGUGAGUAACGCGUAAAGAACUUGCCUCACAGCUAGGGACAACAUUUAGAAAUGAAUGCUAAUACCUGAUAUUAUGAUUUUAGGGCAUCCUAGAAUUAUGAAAGCUAUAUGCACUGUGAGAGAGCUUUGCGUCCCAUUAGCUAGUUGGAGAGGUAACGGCUCACCAAGGCGAUGAUGGGUAGCCGGCCUAAGAGGGUGAUCGGCCACAAGGGGACUGAGACACGGCCCUUACUCCUACGGGAGGCAGCAGUGGGGAAUAUUGGACAAUGGACCAAGAGUCUGAUCCAGCAAUUCUGUGUGCACGAUGAAGUUUUUCGGAAUGUAAAGUGCUUUCAGUUGGGAAGAAAAAAAUGACGGUACCAACAGAAGAAGUGACGGCUAAAUACGUGCCAGCAGCCGCGGUGAUACGUAUGUCACAAGCGUUAUCCGGAUUUAUUGGGCGUAAAGCGCGUCUAGGUGGUUAUAUAAGUCUGAUGUGAAAAUGCAGGGCUCAACUCUGUAUUGCGUUGGAAACUGUGUAACUAGAGUACUGGAGAGGUAAGCGGAACUACAAGUGUAGAGGUGAAAUUCGUAGAUAUUUGUAGGAAUGCCGAUGGGGAAGCCAGCUUACUGGACAGAUACUGACGCUGAAGCGCGAAAGCGUGGGUAGCAAACAGG
rnacentral:rRNA from 1 species